UCAACUUGAGAGUUUGAUCCUGGCUCAGAACGAACGCUGGCGGCAGGCUUAACACAUGCAAGUCGAACGCCCCGCAAGGGGAGUGGCAGACGGGUGAGUAACGCGUGGGAACAUACCCUUUCCUGCGGAAUAGCUCCGGGAAACUGGAAUUAAUACCGCAUACGCCCUACGGGGGAAAGAUUUAUCGGGGAAGGAUUGGCCCGCGUUG
rnacentral:rRNA from 1 species